rnacentral:rRNA from 1 species
UACGUAGGGGGCUAGCGUUGUCCGGAUUUAUUGGGCGUAAAGAGCGUGUAGGCGGCCAUACAGGUCCGUUGUGAAAACUGGAGGCUUAACCUCCAGACGUCGAUGGAAACCGUAUGGCUAGAGUCCGGAAGAGGAGAGUGGAAUUCCUGGUGUAGCGGUGAAAUGCGCAGAUAUCAGGAAGAACACCAGUGGCGAAGGCGGCUCUCUGGGACGGUACUGACGCUGAGACGCGAAAGCGUGGGGAGCGAACAGG